rnacentral:snRNA from 1 species
AUCCUCUGGGUUGUCUUCAGAUCGGAUAGAUUGUUUGCCUGUUAUUAAAUAUUUCCGUGGGGAGUAACAGUUCGGAGUCUUAACCCAAUUUGUCGGUGGCGGGACGUCC